rnacentral:rRNA from 1 species
CCUACGGGAGGCUGCAGUGGGGAAUAUUGGACAAUGGGCGAAAGCCUGAUCCAGCCAUGCCGCGUGUGUGAAGAAGGCCUUCGGGUUGUAAAGCACUUUCAGUGGGGAAGAAAGCCUUGGGGCUAAUACCCUCGAGGAAGGACAUCACCCACAGAAGAAGCACCGGCUAACUCCGUGCCAGCAGCCGCGGUAAUACGGAGGGUGCGAGCGUUAAUCGGAAUUACUGGGCGUAAAGCGCGCGUAGGCGGUCUGAUAAGCCGGUUGUGAAAGCCCCGGGCUCAACCUGGGAACGGCAUCCGGAACUGUCAGGCUAGAGUGCAGGAGAGGAAGGUAGAAUUCCCGGUGUAGCGGUGAAAUGCGUAGAGAUCGGGAGGAAUACCAGUGGCGAAGGCGGCCUUCUGGACUGACAUUGACGCUGAGGUGCGAAAGCGUGGGUAGCAAACAGGAUUAGAUACCCUGGUAGUC